rnacentral:rRNA from 1 species
AGGGUUUGAUCAUGGCUCAGGAUGAACGCUAGCGACAGGCCUAACACAUGCAAGUCGAGGGGCAUCGGGGCGUAGCAAUACGCUGCCGGCGACCGGCGGAUGGGUGAGUAACGCGUAUGCAACCUGCCUUCAGCAGGGGGAUAGCCCGUUGAAAGACGGAUUAAUACCCCAUAACACAGGGGCUCCGCAUGGAGAUUAUUGUUAAAGGGACACUUCCUUCGGGGGGUAUUCCGGCUGAAGAUGGGCAUGCGUUCCAUUAGGUAGUUGGUUGAGGUAACGGCUCACCAAGCCUACGAUGGAUAGGGGAACUGAGAGGUUGGUCCCCCACACUGGUACUGAGACACGGACCAGACUCCUACGGGAGGCAGCAGUGAGGAAUCUUGGUCAAUGGACGGAAGUCUGAACCAGCCAUGUCGCGUGAAGGAGGACGGCCCUAAGGGUUGUAAACUUCUUUUGCAGGGGAAUAAAGUAUUCCACGUGAUGGGAUAUUGCAAGUACGCUGCGAAUAAGGAUCGGCUAACUCCGUGCCAGCAGCCGCGGUAAUAC